GCUUUCGUAGUGUAGUGGUAAGCACGCUCGACGCGUAUUUGAGAGGUCCAUGGUUCGAGUGCCGGCGAGGGCA
rfam:Stegodyphus mimosarum contig87013, whole genome shotgun sequence.